rnacentral:rRNA from 1 species
UACGUAGGGUGCGAGCGUUUGUCCGGAAUUUAUUGGGCGUAAAGGGCUCGUAGGCGGUCUGUUGCGUCGGGAGUGAAAACUCAGGGCUUAACCCUGAGCCUGCUUCCGAUACGGGCAGACUAGAGGUAUGCAGGGGAGAACGAAUUCCUGGUGUAGCGGUGAAAAUGCGCAGAUAUCAGGAGGAACACCGGUGGCGAAGGCGGUUCUCUGGGGCAUUACCUGACGUGAGGAGCGAAAAGUGUGGGGGAGCGAAACAGG